GGAUGUGAGGGUGAUCUGGCUGCGACAUCUGUCACCCCACUGAUCGCCAGGGUUGCUUCGGCUGAUCUGGUUGGCUAGGCGGGUGUCCCCGUCCUCCCUCAAGGAUCCAUGUGCAUCCCUCCCGAAGCUGCGCACUCAGUCGAAGAGGACGACCACCCCCGAUAGAGGAGGACCAUUCUUCUGUCAAGGGUGUAUGAGUAGCUGCGCUCCCCUGCUAGAAACUCCAAACAAGCUCUCUAAAAAGAAACUGGAGAUUUGGAUGGCUGUUCACAUACCUUGCCUGAUAAUACUUAUUACUAAGGAACAUUACCAGGCAAUAAAGAAGGUAUUUUUCA
rnacentral:snRNA from 1 species